rnacentral:rRNA from 1 species
AGCUCCAAUAGCGUAUAUUAAAGUUGUUGCGGUUAAAAAGCUCGUAGUUGGAUUUCUGCCAGGGGCAACCGGUCACCACACUGUGGUAGUAUCUGGUUUGUUCGUGGCAUCCUCCCGACGAACGUAUUUGUCAUUCAGUUGAUGAUGCGGUUAUCGGGACUUUUACUUUGAGGAAAUUAGAGUGUUCACGGCAGGCUUUCGCGAUGAAUACAUUAGCAUGGAAUAAUAACAUAGGACCUUGGUUCUAUUUUGUUGGUUUCUAGAACUGAGGUAAUGAUUAAUAGGGAUAAUUGGGGGCAUUCGUAUUGGCGCGUCAGAGGUGAAAUUCUUAGAUUGCGUUAAGACGAACUACUGCGAAAGCAUUUGCCAAGGAUGUUUUCA